rnacentral:rRNA from 1 species
CGGGGUGAAGCCGGUGGAAUGAGCGGCGGACGGGUGAGUAACACGUGGGCAACCUACCUUGUAGACUGGGAUAACUCCGGGAAACCGGGGCUAAUACCGGAUGAUCAUUUGGAUCGCAUGAUCCGAAUGUAAAAGUGGGGAUUUAUCCUCACACUGCAAGAUGGGCCCGCGGCGCAUUAGCUAGUUGGUAAGGUAAUGGCUUACCAAGGCGACGAUGCGUAGCCGACCUGAGAGGGUGAUCGGCCACACUGGAACUGAGACACGGUCCAGACUCCUACGGGAGGCAGCAGUAGGGAAUCAUCCGCAAUGGGCGAAAGCCUGACGGUGCAACGCCGCGUGAACGAUGAAGGUUUUCGGAUCGUAAAGUUCUGUUAUGAGGGAAGAACAAGUGCCGUUCGAAUAGGUCGGCACCUUGACGGUACCUCACGAGAAAGCCCCGGCUAACUACGUGCCAGCAGCCGCGGUAAUACGUAGGGGGCAAGCGUUGUCCGGAAUUAUUGGGCGUAAAGCGCGCGCAGGCGGUCUCUUAAGUCUGAUGUGAAAGCCCACGGCUCAACCGUGGAGGGUCAUUGGAAACUGGGGGACUUGAGUGUAGGAGAGGAAAGUGGAAUUCCACGUGUAGCGGUGAAAUGCGUAGAUAUGUGGAGGAACACCAGUGGCGAAGGCGACUUUCUGGCCUACAACUGACGCUGAGGCGCGAAAGCGUGGGGAGCAAACAGGAUUAGAUACCCUGGUAGUCCACGCCGUAAACGAUGAGUGCUAGGUGUUAGGGGUUUCGAUACCCUUAGUGCCGAAGUUAACACAUUAAGCACUCCGCCUGGGGAGUACGGCCGCAAGGCUGAAACUCAAAGGAAUUGACGGGGGCCCGC